GAUGAACGCUGGCGGCGUGCCUAAUACAUGCAAGUCGAGCGAACGGACGAGAAUCUUGCUUCUCUGAUGUUAGCGGCGGACGGGUGAGUCACGCGUGGAUAACCUACCUAUAAUACUGGUAUAACUUCGGGAAACCGGAUCUAAUCCCGGAUGAUAUUUUGAACCGCAUUGUUCAAGAGUGAAAGACGGUCUUGCUGUCUCUUCUAGAUGGAUCCGCGCUGCUUUAGCUAGUUGGUAAGGUAACGGCUUACCAAGGCGACGAUGCAUAGCCGACCGGAGUGGGGGAUCGGCCACACGAGAACGGAGACACGGUCCAGGGUACUGCGGGAGGCAGCAGUAGGGAAUCUUACGCAAUGGGCGAAAGCCUGACGGAGCAACGCCGCGUGAGUGAUGAAGGUCUUCGGAGCGUAAAACUCUGUUAUGAGGGAAGAACAUAUGUGUAAGUAACUGUGCACAUCGUGACGGUACCGAAUCAGAAAGCCACGGCUAACUACGUG
rnacentral:rRNA from 1 species